UUCCCCUGACAACUGGUAAAGAGACACUUGGUUGGUGGUGGUGUUGCUCUUCUAUCCGUCAUAGGCAGAGCAGAGAGCAGCUCUUUGUUCAUGCUAGCUUGAUGCCUGGCUUGGUGGCCAAAACUGUCUUGUGUCUAGGACUCCUAA